rnacentral:rRNA from 1 species
UAAAGUCAUAAAAAUAUACCGAUAAAUAAUAUCAAUAGAUAAAAAUUCAAAGAAAUUGGCGGUGUCUUAUAUACUCAGGGGAACCUGUUGCUUAAUUCGAUAAUCCACGAAAUUCAUUCCUACUUUUGAAAUACCAGCCUGUGUACUGCUGUCGUCAGUAAACCUUUAAAAGAAAGUUUACAAAAAUAACAUAAAAUUAUUAACGUCAAGUCAAAGUGCAGCAUAUAAGUAGGAGUUAAAUGGGUUACAAUCUACAAAAAGAAUACGAAAGUAAAAAUUAAAAAUUUACAGAAGGAGGACUUGAUAGUAAUAAAUAAAUACUACAUUUAUAAACAAUAUACUUAAGACAUGCACAAAUCGCCCGUCACUCUCAACCAAAAUG